rnacentral:rRNA from 1 species
CCUACGGGUGGCAGCAGUAGGGAAUAUUGCUCAAUGGGGGAAACCCUGAAGCAGCAACGCCGCGUGGAGGAAGAAGGCCCUCGGGUUGUAAACUUCUUUUGUCAGGGACGAAACAAAUGACGGUACCUGACGAAUAAGCCACGGCUAACUACGUGCCAGCAGCCGCGGUAAUACGUAGGUGGCAAGCGUUAUCCGGAUUUACUGGGUGUAAAGGGCGUGUAGGCGGGAGAGCAAGUCAGAUGUGAAAUUCUAGGGCUUAACCCUGGAACUGCAUUUGAAACUGUUUUUCUUGAGUGAUGGAGAGGCAGGCGGAAUUCCGAGUGUAGCGGUGAAAUGCGUAGAUAUACGGAGGAACACCAGUGGCGAAGGCGGCCUGCUGGACAUUAACUGACGCUGAGGCGCGAAAGCGUGGGGAGCAAACAGGAUUAGAUACCCUAGUAGUC